CUCAUAGUGUGGAAAUAUAUCUAAAACAGAGAGAAGUCAGGUUUGCGCCAGACUUAACAGAAAUACACGAUUAGUCCCAUCGUACAUUCUAAGUUGUUGUUGUUUCUUCUUCUAUGGUUUUCAUUUGCUCAUGUGCCUGUGUGCAUUCCUCUUUUUGUGCAGGGUUUGAGAUGCGAAGCCGACAUCAAUAACUGCCUGCAUCCUGGGUGGUUGAAGCCUUGGCGCUACACUCCUAGCAGCCCAGUGAACCUAGAGGUGGAGCUGGACACUAGAAAAGAUGAGGAGGGACACCUGGUGCCUGUUUUAGUGGCCCGAUGGAAAGCUCAGGAUGACGGAAGCAUUAGUUCCCUGAAAGGAACAGAGCUUCAUGUUUUGAAGGAAGCCACAAACCAGAAUCUGUGUGUCCGGUACGAAUUCUUCGACAAGAUGUCCAUGCGUAACCCAGCAUAUGAAAAGUGGUCUUUCUCCCUGGAUCGAGUGGUGGUUGAACCCGGCCUGUCAUACGUUGUCUCAGUCUCCAACCUCCCCAAACCAAACCUGAAACACUCUGGUUACAA